rnacentral:rRNA from 1 species
UGGGGAAUAUUGCACAAUGGAGGAAACCCUGAUGCAGCAACGCCGCGUGAGUGAUGAAGGUCUUCGGAUUGUAAAGCUCUGUCUUCUGGGACGAUAAUGACGGUACCAGAGGAGGAAGCCACGGCUAACUACGUG